UACGGGGGGAGCAAGCGUUGUUCGGAUUUACUGGGCGUAAAGGGCGCGUAGGCGGCCACCGCAAGUCGACUGUGAAAUCUCCGGGCUUAACCCGGAACGGUCAGCCGAUACUGCGGGGCUAGAGUGCAGAAGGGGCAACUGGAAUUCUCGGUGUAGCGGUGAAAUGCGUAGAUAUCGAGAAGAACACCGGUGGCGAAGGCGGCCACCUGGACGGGUACUGACGCUGAGACGCGAAAGCGUGGGGAGCAAACAGG
rnacentral:rRNA from 1 species